UACGGGGGGGGCAAGCGUUGUUCGGAAUUACUGGGCGUAAAGGGCUCGUAGGCGGCCAACUAAGUCAGACGUGAAAUCCCUCGGCUUAACCGGGGAACUGCGUCUGAUACUGGAUGGCUUGAGAUUGGGAGAGGGAUGCGGAAUUCCAGGUGUAGCGGUGAAAUGCGUAGAUAUCUGGAGGAACACCGGUGGCGAAGGCGGCAUCCUGGACCAUUACUGACGCUGAGGAGCGAAAGCCAGGGGAGCAAACGGG
rnacentral:rRNA from 1 species